GGGCUGGCCCAUCUUGCAGGUGCACGAUGGGUGGUAGGCGCUGUCUGCCUUUGCCCGCACAAAGGCGUCUAUCUCCUUAUCCGACUGGACGUGGCUUCCUGGCUGGAGCUCCUUCCCCCGGAACGGUGCCAGAGCUUUCUGUGCAAAAAUUUCUCUGGUCAGCCUCACACACCGACGGAAGUCAUCGAUGUCAGUUUCUGUCAAGGAGAAGAAACAGGUUACAUGCCUCCUCUUACCGUGCUGGCCUCGCUGGAAGAUUCGCCACUGGGAGAGGCUCAGGAAGCUGCCCAUGGGGACACGGUUCAGGGACAUGGAGGUCCAAGCCACCAGGUUGCCUGUCACCUACCCAUCAGCAGUUACAGUGCAACCAAGCAGAGUCCCACGAAGCCCAAACAGACAGCAUCCUAGACGGACACAGCUUGCCCCGGAGGCCCUACAUUUAAAUCGGAGAUCUGAAUUUUCUUAUCUAUAAAAUAGAGAUAAGACUACACGUCCUGCCUCUGCCACAGCACACUCCGGGCAGCUGGAGAGCAGGGCACCGCCUUCUGGGCCGCCCACCCCGGAGGCCCUGCUGCAGUGGGGAGACGACCUGCUCACCUGAUGGGCCGUGGCUCCAUCCCCUGAGGGUCAGAAGACGAUGAGGCAGAGGAGCAAGUCCAGGCGUGGCAGGACCUCCUGUUGUGAGACACCUCAGGCAAGAGGCUAUCAUCGCGCCUGGCCAAGGCGAGCGGUUUUGGUUAAUGGUUCCCUAAGAACUCGAGAGCCCACUCUCGGGCCCUGGAAGGGGUCUCCCUUCCUGCAACAGCUGGCGACUCUGGUGGAAUCUCUUCUUUACCACGACUGACAUCCUGACUGCUCAGGUACCAGCUCACCUACCGACGGACCAGACCCAGAGGCCACCACUGGGACCCUCUUGUCUCUGAUCUCCUCCUGACGCAGAUGACGGGCCAGAGUGCCCCGCCCAGGCAGUUAAACUGAUGCUUUGCAAAACUGCUUCAUCUUCAAGAAGAUUCACAGAAAGGGCUUUAGACAAGUAAGGUUUCUGAUAACUUUUAAAUCAUACUACUAAACUAGGUAAGACUUUUUCCUUUUGAGUAGCUAUUUUAUUUAUGUCUUUUAUUUAUUUAUUUGUUUGUGUAUUUAUUUAUUUAUUUUAUUUUAUUUUUGGCUGCACUGCGAGGCA